UACGUAGGGUGCAAGUGUUGUCCGGAAUUAUUGGGCGUAAAGAGCUCGUAGGCGGUCUGUCGCGUCGGAUGUGAAAACCCAGGGCUCAACCCUGGGCCUGCAUUCGAUACGGGCAGACUAGAGUUCGGUAGGGGAGACUGGAAUUCCUGGUGUAGCGGUGAAAUGCGCAGAUAUCAGGAGGAACACCGGUGGCGAAGGCGGGUCUCUGGGCCGAAACUGACGCUGAGGAGCGAAAGCGUGGGGAGCAAACAGG
rnacentral:rRNA from 1 species